rfam:Chlorocebus sabaeus isolate 1994-021 chromosome 1, whole genome shotgun sequence.
GCCGGGUGUGGUGGCGCAUACCUGUAAUCCCAGCUACUUGGGAAGCUGAGGCAGGAGAAUUGCUUGAACCCGGGAGGCAGAGAGUUGCAGUGAGCCAAGACUGCGCCACUGCACUUCCAGCCUGGGUGACAGAACAAGACUUUGUCUCAA